rnacentral:lncRNA from 1 species
CUCCCCCCGGUUUUAUCACCUUCAAUUUCCCUUCAGACACCACUCCUACAAAACCUUGAAUCCGCCGCCCCCUUACCCCACCUCAAGCCCGGCAGUGUGGCCCUAACAUUCAACCUCACUCAAAUAGACACCAAAUAACCAUCACACUCUCUUCUUUCCAAAUCUCAUGCCAGUUCCCUCGAAUAAGGCCAGAAUUCGUCGAAUCUUAAAUCCAAGGUUCGUGUUCUAGGGGGUCGAAGUCAGAUUACUCCAUGCAAGGUCACUCCUCCAAAUUACUACGGUUGUUCCCGGCCUGGUUCGUCUUGAAGUGAUGUUCUUCAUCUGUUCUUGACAACGAACAUGUGAUUCAUACCAUUUCAAGACUAAAUUAGAGUUACACGUGGUUUUCAAGUCCAA